CCUACGGGAGGCAGCAGUGGGGAAUAUUGCACAAUGGGGGAAACCCUGAUGCAGCGACGCCGCGUGAGUGAUGAAGUAUUUCGGUACGUAAAACUCUAUCAGCAGGGAAGAAAAUGACGGUACCUGACUAAGAAGCACCGGCUAAAUACGUGCCAGCAGCCGCGGUAAUA
rnacentral:rRNA from 1 species